GAUGAACGCUGGCGGCGUGCCUAAUACAUGCAAGUCGAGCGAACAGAUGAGGAGCUUGCUCCUCUGACGUUAGCGGCGGACGGGUGAGUAACACGUGGAUAACCUACCUAUAAGACUGGGAUAACUUCGGGAAACCGGAGCUAAUACCGGAUAAUAUAUUGAACCGCAUGGUUCAAUAGUGAAAGACGGUUUUGCUGUCACUUAUAGAUGGAUCCGCGCCGCAUUAGCUAGUUGGUAAGGUAACGGCUUACCAAGGCAACGAUGCGUAGCCGACCUGAGAGGGUGAACGGCCACACAGGAACUGAGACACGGUCCAGACUCCUACGGGAGGCAGCAGUAGGGAAUCUUCCGCAAAGGGCGAAAGCCUGACGGAGCAACGCCGCGUGAGUGAUGAAGGUCUUCGGAUCGUAAAACUCUGUUAUUAGGGAAGAACAAAUGUGUAAGUAACUAUGCACGUCUUGACGGUACCUAAUCAGAAAGCCACGGCUAACUACGUG
rnacentral:rRNA from 1 species